UAUUUAUUGCUGACUCAAUUGCUCCCAUGGUUCCAGCUAGCAUUUCCUUUCUACAACAUUCAGUUAUGACUACCUUCCUUUCUUAACUGUGGCUUCUUCCUCCACUUUUUCUUCACGGUGGAUUUUUCCUCCACCUUUCUGCACCUUUAUUUCUCCCUCACCGUGAUACGUCUUUCUCUCCCCUCUGAAUCCAUUCAUUCGGUUUCUGCAAGGGUUUGUUCUUAUUCACCAUCUAUCAUCUAUGAUCUUUCUUCUUUCUAUUUAAUGGCGUUUUUACUACUUGAAGGACACAUUGGAAGAUUUGUCUCCUUCCAUAUUUCUGACAGCCAGUCGAAGGAGAGCCGUCAGACGUGUGGAAGGAGACAAAUCUUCCAUUUAGGUAAGCGAAUCUAGAUGGCAGAAGUCACACAUGUUGACGUUGUUUGGCCUGGUUGGGGUCACACGUUCGAGAUACCUGAGCUGCAAAAUGCACUUACUGCGAAGAGGAUUGUAUUUCUAGGACCCCAUGCUGUAUCUAUGACCGCUCUUGGAGAUAAAAUUGGUUCAUACUAGAUUGCUCAAGCUGCAGAUAUCUGACUCUUCCAUCGAGUGAUUCUCAUGUUCAUAACGACGACGAAGUAAUUAAGGGGGAUGUUCAAGCAGUCCAGGGUGAAGUUCCUAGAUCACCCAUAUUCAUAAUGAAGGUGGCUUCACAGCCUCCCGCAAGUUCCAAUAUAUUUUCUGUUGAAAACUGCCCAUGUGAGCAAUUUGUAAGGCUCCGAUGCAAGUUUCAUGAAAAAGAAGAUAUCAAAAUUGAGGCUAUUGUGUUUGAUGGUUGUGUAUCCGACCCAAAACCCGGGGACGAUGCUGAUGGCGAAGAUAUUCGUCUUUACUUAAGCUUACUGGUUGACAUAUAUAAGGGAGAGGACCUGAUGGAUGAGGAUUUGUGUGCCCCGCAUGGCCAGAUGGCUUGGAGAUCAUGAAAGUUUACAUGCUUCGUGGCGACAAAUUGCUGCUUAAAGGUCAUAUGUGGCCUAACAUAAUGUACUGCCUCCUUGUUAGCUAUAAUAGCUCCAUGUGUAAUGACGGUGUUUGGUUUUGUAAUUAUGAUUUUUACUAUGAUCUUGAGUAUCUUUUGUGACAUUUGCCCAUUCUUAUCAUUUUCAACGUAGUGGAAAUAUGGACUAGCGGUAAACAAUAGUCUUCACUAAAGAUUGUAAUGGAUUAUUUAUUUUCAUAACUGUAUAUGUUAAUUAGAUGUGUAUUUA